rnacentral:tRNA from 1 species
GGGGUAUUAGCUCAGUUGGUAGAGCGCCAGGUUCGCAAUCUGGAGGUCAGGGGUUCGAACCCCCUAUGCUCCACCA